rnacentral:rRNA from 1 species
GAUGAACGCUGGCGGUAUGCUUAACACAUGCAAGUCGAACGGUACCUUCGGGUAUAGUGGCGGACGGGUGAGUAACGCGUGAGAAUCUAUCUUCAGGUCGGGGACAACAGUUAGAAAUGACUGCUAAUACCGGAUGUGCCGAAAGGUAAAAGAUUUAUUGCCUGAAAAAGAGCUCGCGUCAGAUUAGCUAGUAGGUGGUGUAAGAGACUACCUAGGCUUCGAUCUGUAGCUGGUCUGAGAGGACGAUCAGCCACACUGGAACUGAGACACGGUCCAGACUCCUACGGGAGGCAGCAGUGGGGAAUUUUCCGCAAUGGGCGAAAGCCUGACGGAGCAAUACCGCGUGAGGGGCGAAGGCUCUUGGGUCGUAAACCUCUUUUCUCAAGGAAGAUUCAGACGGUACUUGAGGAAUAAGCAUCGGCUAACUCUGUG